AAAAUGGUGCAUUCCACCUGACCAUGCCCUCCCUGCGUGGGCCUCCUCAUGCACCCAGUAAGACUGACCAAUCAGGUGCUCCCAGAUGCACAUGAACAGCAGCAGAACACACUGUUUCUAGUCUCCCCUCAGACAGUUUCAAGGCACCCCAAAUCAGAAGGAACACUUUCCACCAAUCAGACGCCUUAAUUACCUGUCACUCACGAAUUCUUUCUGAGCCAGACCCGCCCCUACAUCAGUGUCGGAGCGUAUGCAGAGGACAACGGAGAUCCGCUGGACUAGAGAAUAAACACUUAUUUCUCUUCAUUACCGUGCGUCCAUUCGAGUAAACCACGGCUAAUUGCACAGCUAAUUUCACGGCUAAUCUCAAGGCUACGCUCAUAGCUAAAAUCACGGUUGGACGUGUGGCAUGUGUGUGUGUGCGUUUCAAUAAACCUUUAUUUGGAAUUGA